GACGAACGCUGGCGGCGUGCCUAAUACAUGCAAGUAGAACGCACAGUUUAUACCGUAGCUUGCUACACCAUACACUGUGAGUUGCGAACGGGUGAGUAACGCGUAGGUAACCUGCCUGGUAGCGGGGGAUAACUAUUGGAAACGAUAGCUAAUACCGCAUAAUAUUGAUUAUUGCAUGAUAAUUGAUUGAAAGAUGCUAUUGCAUCACUACCAGAUGGACCUGCGUUGUAUUAGCUAGUAGGUGAGGUAACGGCUCACCUAGGCGACGAUACAUAGCCGACCUGAGAGGGUGAUCGGCCAAACUGGGAAUGAGACACGGCCCAGACUCCUACGGGAGGCAGCAGUAGGGAAUCUUCGGCAAUAGACGAAAGGCUGACCGGGCAACGCCGCGUGAGUGAAGAAAGGUUUCGGAUCGUAAAGCUCGGUUGUAAGAGAAGAACGGGUGUGAGAGUGGAAAGUUCACACUGUGACGGUAUCUUACCAGAAAGGGACGGCUAACUACGUG
rnacentral:rRNA from 1 species